UCAGAACGAACGCUGGCGGCAGGCCUAACACAUGCAAGUCGAGCGAGAAGGUUCUUUCGGGAACUGGAGAGCGGCGGACGGGUUAGUAACGCGUGGGAACGUGCCCUAGAGUCUGGGAUAACUAUUAGAAAUGAUAGCUAAUACCGGAUGGUCCCUUCGGGGUAAAGCUUUAGCGCUUUAGGAUCGGCCCGCGUUAGAUUAGGUAGUUGUUGAGGUAAUGGCUCACCAAGCCUACGAUCUAUAGUUGGUUUGAGAGGAUGAUCAGCAACACUGGAACUGAGACACGGUCCAGACUCCUACGGGAGGCAGCAGUGGGGAAUAUUGCGCAAUGGAGGAAACUCUGACGCAGCCAUGCCGCGUGAGUGAAGAAGGCCUUAGGGUUGUAAAACUCUUUCAACGGUGAAGAUGAUGACGGUAACCGUAGAAGAAGCACCGGCUAAUUC
rnacentral:rRNA from 1 species